rnacentral:rRNA from 2 species
GAAUCGCUAGUAAUCGUGGAUCAGAAUGGCACGGUGAAUACGUUCCCGGGCCUUGUACACACCGCCCGUCACACCAUGGGAGUGGACUGCACCAGAAGUGGUUAGCCUAACUUUGGAGGGCGAUCACCACGGUGUGGUUCAUGACUGGGGUGAAGUCGUAACAAGGUAGCCGUAGGGGAACCUGCGGCUGGAUCACCUCCUU